ACUUCUACGGGAGGCAGCAGUAGGGAAUCUUCCGCAAUGGGCGAAAGCCUGACGGAGCAACGCCGCGUGAGUGAUGAAGGUCUUCGGAUCGUAAAACUCUGUUAUUAGGGAAGAACAAACGUNUAAGUACUGUGCACGUCUUGACUGGUACCUAAUCAGAAAGCCACGGCUAACUACGUGCCAGCAGCCGCGGUAAUACGUAGGUGGCAAGCGUUAUCCGGAAUUAUUGGGCGUAAAGCGCGCGUAGGCGGUUUUUAAGUCUGAUGUGAAAGCCCACGGCUCAACCGUGGAGGGUCAUUGGAAACUGGAAAACUUGAGUGCAGAAGAGGAAAGUGGAAUUCCAUGUGUAGCGGUGAAAUGCGCAGAGAUAUGGAGGAACACCAGUGGCGAAGGCGACUUUCUGGUCUGUAACUGACGCUGAUGUGCGAAAGCGUGGGGAUCAAACAGGAUUAGAUACCCUGGUAGGCGUAGU
rnacentral:rRNA from 1 species